rnacentral:misc_RNA from 1 species
UUUAUUUACUUUUCUCUGUAUUUUUAUUUUGAUGAAAAAGCUUUUGAAGUUAAAGUAAAUUUUUAAUUUAACCUUUAGAAAAAAUAAAUCUUUAGAAAGUGUUUAGUAUUAUACAGUUUCAUAUUAAAUUAAACGUUGUUAAUAGUAAACAUAAUUUUAGAUUUUGAGUUGAAAGUUUUUUAUAUUGCUAAAUAUGUAUUUUAAAUCUAAUAGAACGGCAAUUGCAAUUUUUAAAAUUGAAAUUGCAUUGUAAAUAUACCCUAACAUCGAAAUUGACAAAUGUUUUAUUUUUAUUGUUCAUCAUAGUUAAAGUAGACUAUAGUACAUAGUACUUGGAAAAAUGGAAUACAUUGGGACCAGGAUGAGUUGAA